rnacentral:lncRNA from 1 species
GAGAAUGUGGUGGCAAGGGAGGCCAUUUUCCGAAUUUGGGGUGGUGGAAGUACUUUGGAGGAAUCUUGGGGUAAGGAGGAAGCUUAGGAAGAGGGCAUGGCUUCUUAUGAAAUGGAGGGAUCUUUGGGAUUGGAGGCAGUGGCUUAUAAAUUGGAACGGGAGGUGGUAAAGGCUUGUAGAUGGGAAUAGGAGGUGGUAGAGGCUUGAAGAUUGGUGGUUUUGGUUUUGGCUUGUAAAUUGGCACUGGAGGUGGCUUGAAGAUUGGUGGUUUUGGUUUUGGCUUGUAAAUUGGCACUGGAGGUGGCUUGAAGAUUGGUUCUUGUGGAUUGGAGGGAAGACCUUUGGUGGGAGAGGAGGGAAAAUCUUUUGAGGGAGUGGAGGAAAGACCUUAGGUGGGAAUAGGUAAGGAUGGUGAAAGUUUUUCGAUGGUGGAAGUUUCCAUGUAGGCAAUGG